AUCCCUGUAGCGCAAUGGAUAGCGCGUUGAACUUCUAUUCCAUAGGUUCGUAGGUUCGAAUACUACCUGGGAUG